AAAGUAUCCGGUCGUCCGGGGCAUGGUUAUAGUUUGUCUGGCUCAGAUUGAACGCUGGCGGCAGGCCUAACACAUGCAAGUCGAGCGGUAACACAGGGAGCUUGCUCCCGGGUGACGAGCGGCGGACGGGUGAGUAAUGUCUGGGAAACUGCCUGAUGGAGGGGGAUAACUACUGGAAACGGUAGCUAAUACCGCAUAACGUCGCAAGACCAAAGAGGGGGACCUUCGGGCCUCUUGCCAUCAGAUGUGCCCAGAUGGGAUUAGCUAGUAGGUGGGGUAACGGCUCACCUAGGCAACGAUCCCUAGCUGGUCUGAGAGGAUGACCAGCCACACUGGAACUGAGACACGGUCCAGACUCCUACGGGAGGCAGCAGUGGGGAAUAUUGCACAAUGGGGCGCAAGCCUGAUGCAGCCAUGCCGCGUGUAUGAAGAAGCCUUCGGGUUGUAAAGUACUUUCAGCGGGGAAGGAGGUGUUGUGUUUAUACCCCGCCAUUGACUUUCCCCCAAAAAACCACGGGCAACUCCUGCCNNUGUAUAUAGUGCCGGACGGCCGGCGGUCUCGUCACGUCGGAUGUGAAAUCCCCGGGCUCAACCUGGGAACUGCAUUCGAAACUGGCAGGCUAGAGUCUUGUAGAGGGUGGUAGAAUUCCAGGUGUAGCGGUGAAAUGCGUAGAGAUCUGGAGGAAUACCGGUGGCGAAGGCGGCCCCCUGGACAAAGACUGACGCUCAGGUGCGAAAGCGUGGGGAGCAAACAGGAUUAGAUACCCUGGUAGUCCACGCCGUAAACGAUGAUUACUAGGUGUGGGGGGACUGACCCCUUCCGUGCCGCAUUAACGAAUAAGUAAUCCACCUGGGGANNAACCCAACCCUGUCCUUAGUGCACGCGGGGCAUCUAAGAGACCGCUCCGACAAGUGGAGGAGGUGGGGAGACGCAAAUCAUCAUGCCCCUAUGUCUUGGCUACACACGUAAUACAAUGUCAUUAACAGAGGGUCGCAAGACCGCGAGGUGGAGCCAAUCCCUAAAAAUGAUCUCAGUUCGGAUUGCAGGCUGCAACCCGCCUGCAUGAAGCUGGAAUUGCUAGUAAUCGCGGAUCAGCAUGCCGCGGUGAAUACGUUCCCGGGCCUUGUACACACCGCCCGUCACACCAUGGGAGUUUGUAACACCCGAAGUCAGCAGCCUAACCUUUCUGGAGGGCGCUGCCGAAGGUGGGAUAAGCGACUGGGGUGAAGUCGUAACAAGGUAACCGUAU
rnacentral:rRNA from 1 species